rnacentral:tRNA from 1 species
UGGCCCGUUGGUCAAGCGGUUAAGACAGAGGCCUCUCACGCCUUUAACAUCGGUUCGAUUCCGGUACGGGUCAUC